rnacentral:rRNA from 1 species
GGAUCCAUCAGGCUUUGCUUGGUGGUGAGAGUGGCGAACGGGUGAGUAAUGCGUGACCGACCUGCCCCAUACACCGGAAUAGCUCCUGGAAACGGGUGGUAAUGCCGGAUGCUCCAGUUGAUCGCAUGGUCUUCUGGGAAAGCUUUCGCGGUAUGGGAUGGGGUCGCGUCCUAUCAGCUUGACGGCGGGGUAACGGCCCACCGUGGCUUCGACGGGUAGCCGGCCUGAGAGGGCGACCGGCCACAUUGGGACUGAGAUACGGCCCAGACUCCUACGGGAGGCAGCAGUGGGGAAUAUUGCACAAUGGGCGCAAGCCUGAUGCAGCGACGCCGCGUGAGGGAUGGAGGCCUUCGGGUUGUAAACCUCUUUUAUCGGGGAGCAAGCGAGAGUGAGUUUACCCGUUGAAUAAGCACCGGCUAACUACGUGCCAGCAGCCGCGGUAAUACGUAGGGUGCAAGCGUUAUCCGGAAUUAUUGGGCGUAAAGGGCUCGUAGGCGGUUCGUCGCGUCCGGUGUGAAAGUCCAUCGCUUAACGGUGGAUCCGCGCCGGGUACGGGCGGGCUUGAGUGCGGUAGGGGAGACUGGAAUUCCCGGUGUAACGGUGGAAUGUGUAGAUAUCGGGAAGAACACCAAUGGCGAAGGCAGGUCUCUGGGCCGUUACUGACGCUGAGGAGCGAAAGCGUGGGGAGCGAACAGGAUUAGAUACCCUGGUAGUCCACGCCGUAAACGGUGGAUGCUGGAUG